UUGUCAAGUAGGAUAAUCCUUAUAUGUUCUUCCCUUUGGAGGGCAGAUGGGAGCAUGAUGACUGGAGGGAGCAUGACUCGUGAUUAGUGUCUCUGUACAGUCAGGACUGGCAAUGCUCUGACUACAAAAACCAAAC